rnacentral:rRNA from 1 species
UACGUAGGCAGCAAGCGUUGUUCGGAGUUACUGGGCGUAAAGGGUGUGUAGGCGGUUCUCUAAGUUUGGUGUGAAAUCUCCCGGCUUAACCGGGAGGGUGCGCCGAAAACUGGGGGGCUAGAGUGUGGGAUGGGUAAGUGGAAUUUCUGGUGUAGCGGUGAAAUGCGUAGAUAUCAGAAGGAACACCGGUGGUGUAGACGGCUUACUGGACCAUAACUGACGCUGAGACACGAAAGCGUGGGUAGCAAACAG